UACGGAGGAUGCAAGCGUUAUCCGGAAUCAUUGGGUUUAAAGGGUCCGUAGGCGGAUUAAUAAGUCAGUGGUGAAAGUCUGCCGCUCAACGGUAGAAUUGCCAUUGAUACUGUUAGUCUUGAAUUACUAUGAAGUAGUUAGAAUGUGUAGUGUAGCGGUGAAAUGCAUAGAUAUUACACAGAAUACCAAUUGCGAAGGCAGAUUACUAAUAGUAUAUUGACGCUGAUGGACGAAAGCGUGGGGAGCGAACAGG
rnacentral:rRNA from 1 species